rnacentral:rRNA from 1 species
GAUGAACGCUGGCGGCGUGCCUAAUACAUGCAAGUCGAGCGAACAGACGAGGAGCUUGCUUCUCUGACGUUAGCGGCGGACGGGUGAGUAACACGUGGAUAACCUACCUAUAAGACUGGGAUAACUUCGGGAAACCGGAGCUAAUACCGGAUAAUAUGUUGAACCGCAUGGUUCAACAGUGAAAGACGGUUUUGCUGUCACUUAUAGAUGGAUCCGCGCUGCAUUAGCUAGUUGGUAAGGUAACGGCUUACCAAGGCAACGAUGCGUAGCCGACCUGAGAGGGUGAUCGGCCACACUGGAACUGAGACACGGUCCAGACUCCUACGGGAGGCAGCAGUAGGGAAUCUUCCGCAAUGGGCGAAAGCCUGACGGAGCAACGCCGCGUGAGUGAAGAAGGUCUUCGGAUCGUAAAACUCUGUUAUUAGGGAAGAACAAAUGUGUAAGUAACUAUGCACGUCUUGACGGUACCUAAUCAGAAAGCCACGGCUAACUACGUG